CCUACGGGAGGCAGCAGUGAGGAAUAUUGGUCAAUGGGCGCGAGCCUGAACCAGCCAAGUAGCGUGAAGGAUGAAGGCCCUACGGGUGGUAAACUUCUUUGAUAAAGGAAUAAAGGGAGGCACGUGGGCGUUUUUGUAUGUACUGUAUGAAUAAGGAUAGGCUAACUCCGUGCCAGCAGCCGCGGUAAGACGGAUGAUCCGAGCGUUAUCCGGAUUGAGUGGGUUUAACGGGAGCGUAGAUGGGUUGUUAAGUCAGUGGUGAAAGUUUGCGGCUCAACCGUAAAAUUGCAAUUGAUACUUGCAGCCUUGAGUCCAGUUGAGGUUGGCGGAAUUCGUGGUGUAGCUGUGCACUGCUUCGAUAUCACGAA
rnacentral:rRNA from 1 species